GUCUACAGCCAUGCCACCCUGAUCAUGCCCAAUCUUGUCUGAUCUCAGAAGCUAAGCAGGGUCAGGCCUGGUUAGUACUUGGGUGGGAGACCACCUUGGAAUACCAGGUGCUGUAGGCG
rnacentral:rRNA from 1 species